GACUUCUUGGUAUAGUAAUUUUUCAGGUUAUUAGAGAAAGAACUUCAAAACUUUUUUUUCAUUCUUUUGUCUCUCUCUUUCUGAGGUACACUGAAAGCUAUUCUGAUGAUGAUUCAAACAUGGAAGAUUACCCAGAUCCACAGACUCCAUGCCAUUGAAGACCCCUGCCCGAGAACCUGAGGGAGGAUGGUUUAUUGACAAAACCCCAGGUGGACAGAAAGAAAGUCUUCCCUUGGACCUGUCAGAUGACCAAAGCAACUGUAAAAAGCAGGAUCCUGGGAUUCAGGUAUUUUUAGUGAGAGUUCCGUGUAGUUGGAGUAGAGUGCAGUCUUUUCACUGAAUGUAGUAUCAAGUGGGUGCUGUACUCUGUUUUUAAAGCAUCAC
rnacentral:lncRNA from 1 species